UUUCCUUUUUUUAAUGUGGUGGUAAUAAAAAAUAGAAUGAUGGGUAGUGAGUGUUUCUUGGACCCGUGGGGGAGAGGGGUGAGGGUCUGUGCCCUACCUUCACUCCUCAUUGCCAUGCCUUGGAAAAUUGAGGAAAUCAAGGACUUUCUGCUUACAGCCAGGCGAAAGGAUGCCCAGUCUGUCAAGAUCAACAAAAACAAGGAUAAUGUAAAGUUUAAAGUUCGAUGCAGCAGAUGCCUUUAUACCUUGGUCAUCACAAACAAAGAGAAGGCAGAGAAACUGAAGCAGUCUCUGCCCCCUGGUUUGGCAGUGAAGGAGCUGAAAUGAAGCAGAUAUGCUGAUUUCAAUUGUAUUAAAUUUUAAAAAUUCAAAAAAAAA